GGCAGACCUUGGGCUCAUUCAAGAGCUAGCCUCCAAAAGGUGAAUGUUUUCUGGAUGAGGGUUGUUUUUUGAGAAGUAGUCUUCUAUAGCUAGAGAGACUAUCACCAGUUGGGUGAGUUAAGAUUUUCAGUGUAUGCUUAUUGAUGUCUCCAAUAAUGUUUUCAAUGUAUUGCAAGGGUCUUAUUGGAGGCUAUCUGGGAGCAGUGUGAGCUUGAUUUGUGGAACAUGAAGAAAAAGCUACCUAUCUCUAGUCAGAACAGACAACAAAACCAAAAUGAAGCCUGGUAGAAGUCAUUGACUUGAAAAAGCUUUUAGUACGUUUUAGUGCAGUAAUUCCAGUGUGAAAAUUCCCCUGACACUGAGAUCCAUUUCAAAGAAGACGACAAAGAUACUAGUUUCAGAAAGUUCCCCUGAUUCUGGAGUAGAAUUGAUCAUUAAAAAGAAUACUGGAGGCAUAGAUUGCUUGACACCCUACAUGAGUGGCACAAUGGCUGUAGCUGUGG